GUUGGGGUGGCAGAAUCCGGCCAUAUUGCAAAAGGUCUAAGCCCUUUGAACAGAGGUUCAAAUCCUCUCCCCAACU
rnacentral:tRNA from 1 species